UGAAAAAAGAAAAAGCCCCCCUGAAAAUACAAUCUUUUCCGUAUUUAUAGCCGAAUGCUCCCCUUUGUUCUUUGCUCUGUUUUCUUGUUUUGUUUCGUCUUUGCAGGUGACGGCGCAAGUAGGCAUGGUGGUGAUGGACGCGGAUGGGACGUCCGGCGGCGGUGGCGGCAACUGGCAGAAGGCCAAGAGUCAAAAGGCAAAGGAGGAGGCGGCACCUAAGGUUUCAGUCUCUGAAACCCUAAGCAGAUAUUUUUAGGGAAAUUGGGCCGGUGCAUCUGGGCUUCGGUUUGGGUUGUAAUUGGGGUUUGGGUUGUAUUUGGGUAGGCUUAGUUUGGGCUGGGCAAAAUUGGCUUGUACAGCAUAUAAGUAGAUUUUUUUUCUUUAUUAAACGAUUGAAUAUUUGAUUGAGU
rnacentral:lncRNA from 1 species